GCGGCCUUCCUCCUGCUGGUGUCCAUGUGGAGGCAGGUGCACAGCAGCUGGAAUCUGCCCCCAGGCCCUUUCCCGCUUCCCAUCAUCGGGAACCUCUUCCAGUUGGAAUUGAAGAAUAUUCCCAAGUCCUUCACCCGGCUGGCCCAGCGCUUCGGGCCGGUGUUCACGCUGUACGUGGGCUCGCAGCGCAUGGUGGUGAUGCACGGCUACAAGGCGGUGAAGGAAGCGCUGCUGGACUACAAGGACGAGUUCUCGGGCAGAGGCGACCUCCCCGCGUUCCAUGCGCACAGGGACAGGGGAAUCAUUUUUAAUAAUGGACCUACCUGGAAGGACAUCCGGCGGUUUUCCCUGACCACCCUCCGGAACUAUGGGAUGGGGAAAGAGGGCAAUGAGAGCCGGAUCCAGAGGGAGGCCCACUUCCUGCUGGAAGCGCUCAGGAAGACCCAAGCUUUACAAUAAUUUUCCCAGCGUUCUACACUACUUGCCUGGAAGCCAUAGAAAAGUCAUAAAAAAUGUGGCUGAAAUAAAAGAGUAUGUGUCUGAAAGGGUGAAGGAGCACCAUCAAUCUCUGGACCCCAACUGUCCCCGGGACCUCACCGACUGCCUGCUCGUGGAAAUGGAGAAG
rnacentral:sRNA from 1 species